UCUCAGCUUAUUUUGCGCAGCUUAGGUGGGAGGCUAUGAACCUUUUCUUCUGGGAAGAGGGGAGCCGUCAGUGAGAUACCACUCUUGGUAAGCUAGAGCGCUCAGUCUUAACCGUCAUCCGGUAAGACGACAGUUUCAGGCGGGCAGUUUGACUGGGGCAGUCACCUCCCAAAAGGUAAUGGAGGUGUGCAAAGGUUCCCUCAGGCUGGACGGAAAUCAGCCAUAGAGUGUAAAAGCAAAAGGGAGCUUGACUGCGAGACUGACAUGUCAAGCAGAGACGAAAGUCGGCUUUAGUGAUCCGACGGUGCUGUGUGGAAAGGCCGUCGCCCAACGGAUAAAAGUUACUCUAGGGAUAAC
rnacentral:rRNA from 1 species